rnacentral:rRNA from 1 species
UACGUAGGGUGCGAGCGUUGCCCGGAUUUAUUGGGCGUAAAGGGCGCGUAGGCGGUGAGACACGUUCGUUGUGAAAUCGCCCGGCUCAACUGGGCGGGGUCAGCGGAUACGGUCUCACUUGAGCAAGCUAGGGGGCAAUGGGAAUUCCCGGUGUAGUGGUGGAAUGCGUAGAUAUCGGGAGGAACACCAGUGGCGAAGGCGGUUGCCUGGGGCUUUGCUGACGCUGAUGCGCGAAAGCGUGGGGAGCGAGUCCGG